rnacentral:rRNA from 1 species
CAGCCGCCGCGGUAAUACGAAGGGGGCUAGCGUUGUUCGGAAUUACUGGGCGUAAAGCGCACGUAGGCGGAUAUUUAAGUCAGGAGUGAAAUCCCAGAGCUCAACUCUGGAACUGCCUUUGAUACUGGGUAUCUUGAGUAUGGAAGAGGUGAGUGGAAUUCCGAGUGUAGAGGUGAAAUUCGUAGAUAUUCGGAGGAACACCAGUGGCGAAGGCGGCUCACUGGUCCAUUACUGACGCUGAGGUGCGAAAGCGUGGGGAGCAAACAGGAUUAGAUACCCCCGUAGUCCCUGUCUCUUAUAC